AGCUAAUUUUUUUUCUUUUAUACAAAGGUUUGGUUAAAAUGUCCAUCUGGUAUAAAAUAGUGUAGCUACUCUGCCUUGUUGAAUGGCUCAGAGCAAAAUAAAUAUAGUGAACUAGUUUUAAAAAAUAGUUUUGUAUAGGAUGGUUCAUAAAACUGAUUAAGCCCUGCUGAUAAAAUUAGUGUAGAAACAUCUAAUAUAUUUGUCACAAUAUAUAAUAAACCUCUUUAAAAGAGGUGGAGAAAAUGAAUUUCAAAAUAGCUCCAUCAAAGACAUCAAUAACUUAUUUUUUUAAGAAGCGGACUGUCAGAAUCAAAUUGAUACAAGUGUUGUACAAGUAUAAAUUACAAAGUAAUUUAUAAAUUAUACAGUUAAAGAUAACCAUGCUUUCUAUCUUGCUUAUAUCUACCUCUUUAAAAGGUAACUGUAAGAAUAUCACAAGAUAAUUGAAAAUAGGUUUUCAAAUACCCCAAUGUUUUGUAAGGAAAGCAAAACAAAACAAAACAUAAAAAAAAAAAAACACACACACACAUCAUACGCUUUACACUAAUGUGCCAGAAAUGAACAUGGCUUGAGUGCUUGCCUAUGUCAAGGCAUGGUAACCUAUUUCUUAGAAGGGUGUCUCAUUUAAUCUGGCUGUAAUCCUAUGAGAAAUGAAGUUCAGGUACUUUGAAUAAAUUGCCCAAGACAGAAGCAAAACUCAAACCCUCAUGUAUAUUCUUUUCACUAUACUCUGCUGUCUC